rnacentral:lncRNA from 1 species
CCACAUCUCCUUUCGUGUCAUAUUAAACACACUACUUAAGUUUGCAAAUUACCAGUACUAUUUGGAUCGAAUUAUGUGUUCAUGUUUAUGUUAAUAUGUUCUCGUGUCAUUGAACCAUAAUUUUAUAUAUUUUAUAUGCAUGACCUCCUGCAACUAUCGGAGGAAUAAAAGCAAAAUGUUGUGGUCGAAUAUGUGAACAUUGAAUGUAUCUCGUCAUUCGGAGAAUCUAUUUUAAUGAUAGAUCUUUUAUCGUUUCUGUUCAAUAAGUUUAUAAACAUAUGUCCUUAAACAUUGUGUUUUUAAUCAUUCC